UUGAGCCGUAUGAGGGGAAACUCUCACGUACGGUUCUUAGAGGGGUGGAGGGCAGCAAUGCUCUCCGCCUACUCGAC
rnacentral:ncRNA from 1 species